UACGAAGGGGGCUAGCGUUGUUCGGAAUCACUGGGCGUAAAGCGUACGUAGGCGGUUUGUAAAGUCAGAUGUGAAAUCCUGGGGCUUAACCCUAGAAUUGCAUUUGAAACUCACAAGCUAGAGACCGGUAGGGGAUAGUGGAAUUCCUAGUGUAGAGGUGAAAUUCGUAGAUAUUAGGAGGAACACCAGUGGCGCAAGCGACUAUCUGGGCCGGAACUGACGCUAAGGUACGAAAGCGUGGGUAGCAAACAGG
rnacentral:rRNA from 1 species